rnacentral:rRNA from 1 species
UGGGGAAUAUUGCACAAUGGGCGCAAGCCUGAUGCAGCCAUGCCGCGUGUGUGAAGAAGGCCUUCGGGUUGUAAAGCACUUUCAGCGAGGAGGAAGGUGGUGAGCUUAAUACGCUCAUCAAUUGACGUUACUCGCAGAAGAAGCACCGGCUAACUCCGUGCCAGCAGCCGCGGUAAUACGGAGGGUGCAAGCGUUAAUCGGAAUUACUGGGCGUAAAGCGCACGCAGGCGGUUUGUUAAGUCAGAUGUGAAAUCCCCGGGCUCAACCUGGGAACUGCAUUUGAAACUGGCAAGCUAGAGUCUCGUAGAGGGGGGUAGAAUUCCAGGUGUAGCGGUGAAAUGCGUAGAGAUCUGGAGGAAUACCGGUGGCGAAGGCGGCCCCCCUGGACGAAGACUGACGCUCAGGUGCGAAAGCGUGGGGCAGCAAACAGGAUUAGAUACCCUGGUAGUCCACGCUGUAAACGAUGUCGAUUUGGAGGUUGUGCCCUUGAGGCGUGG